CCUUAUAUAGCUCAGUUGGUAAAGAAUCCACCUGCAAUGUGGGAGACCUGGGUUCGAUCCCUGGGUUGGGA
rnacentral:tRNA from 1 species